rnacentral:rRNA from 1 species
UACGUAGGGGGCAAGCGUUGUCCGGAAUCAUUGGGCGUAAAGCGCGUGUAGGCGGCUUGGUAAGUCCGGUGUGAAACCUUGGGGCUCAACCCCAAGCCUGCAUCGGAAACUGCCUCGCUCGAGUCCGGGAGGGGAGAGCGGAAGUUCCUAGUGUAGCGGUGAAAUGCGCAGAUAUUAGGAAGAACACCGGUGGCGAAGGCGGCUCUCUGGAACGGUACUGACGCUGAGACGCGAAAGCGUGGGGAGCGAACGAGG